rnacentral:rRNA from 1 species
UACGAAGGGGCUAGCGUUGCUCGGAAUCACUGGGCGUAAAGGGUGCGUAGGCGGGUCUUUAAGUCAGGGGUGAAAUCCUGGAGCUCAACUCCAGAACUGCCUUUGAUACUGAAGAUCUUGAGUUCGGGAGAGGUGAGUGGAACUGCGAGUGUAGAGGUGAAAUUCGUAGAUAUUCGCAAGAACACCAGUGGCGAAGGCGGCUCACUGGCCCGAUACUGACGCUGAGGCACGAAAGCGUGGGGAGCA